GUUGGACAGGGCUUGGAGCAACCUGGUCUAGUGGAAGGUGCUCCCAACCAUGGCACAGGGUUGGGACUGAAUAAGCUUUAAGGUCUCUUCCAACCCAUAUACGCUAUGAUUCUACGAUUUGCUCAGCCUAAUAAUCUAGAAAGUGCACUACAUUACACAGCACAGGAGCUCCUGACUACCUCUGAAGACCUCUUGUGUACACACACAGAAAAAUAUCCAAAUCAACUGAUGCCUUCAAAUAAUGAAUGGAGCAAAGUUUGAUUUCAGCAAAAGAUGUCCACUGCACUGGAAGCAAAGCCACUCUUACUAUCAGCAUUAGCUAACUUGACAAUAAAGGCUUCAGGUGAAACUGAAGACGGGGACAAACCAAGUUCAUCAGCAGAUCAGUUGAAUCAACUGCUAAACUGAUUUUGUUAUUAAAGACACACGCAUGAAAAGACCCCAACAAGACAAACUCAUCAACAACCACAUCCUGCACAUUUGAAUGUAAAAUAGAUCACUGGAUUCUGGGACCCCAGAACAGUCCAAAUGAAGCUCUUUGAUCUUGGAGAUUAACAUUUAAAAGAGCCACAAAGGUUGCUAUGCCACUGUUUCAGAGAUUCUUGAGCCUGCCCAGACUGAAGGUGUUCAUUUAUAAGACAUGUUUUCUCCCUGUAGAAAGACUGGGGAAUUUGUAUUGUCCAGUGGCACUUAACCCUUAUUUGCUGUGAACAUCAGAUGUCAGCACUAGAAAAUUUCCAGCAAACAGUAGGUGUGCUUUACCCCAUGGAGUUACCAUUUUGGCCUUUAGUGGAAUUAAAAACAU